AUAUUUACAAUCGUUAUAUCUUCUUUCUUUGUCUCUUGUAACAGUCUUUAUUUUAAAGUCUAUUUUGUCUGAUAUGAGUUUUGCUACUCCAGCUUUCUUUUGAUUUCCAUUUACAUGGAAUACAUUUUUCCACCCCCUCACUUUCAGUCUGUAUGUGUCCGUAGAUCAGAAGUGGGUCUCUUGUAGACAGCAUAUAUAUGGGUCUUGUGUUUGUAUCCAUUCAGCCAGUUUGUGUCUUUUGGUUGGGGCAUUGAGUCCAUUUACAUUAAAGGUAAUUACUGAUACGUAUGUUCUUAUGGCCAUCUUGUGAAUUGUUUUGGAUUUUGGAUUUGUUUUUGUAGGUUUUUUUUUUUUCCCUUCCUCUUUUGUUCUCUCGUGCUUUGAUGACUAUCUUUAGUACUGUGUCUGGAUUGCUUUUGUGUAUGUGUGUGUUUAUCUAUUGUAGAUUUUUCGUUUGCAGUUUUCAUGACGUUUUGAUAUAGCAGUCUAUAUAUAUAUUAACAAGAUUGUUUUAAAUUGCUGGUCUCUUAAUUUCAAAUGCAUUUCCAAUAUCCUGCAUCUGUACUCUCCUCUUCUCACAGUUGCUGGUUUUGAUAGCAUAUUUAUGUGGAUGAUUUCCUACCUUUACUGUAUGUUUGCCUUUUCUGGUGAGCUUUCCCAUUUCAUAAUUUUGGUUCUAGUUCUGGCCUUUUUCUUCCUAGAGAAGUUCCUAGGAACGUGUUGUAAAACUUCCAUUUGUUGUGAAGCUGCUUUGUCGGUGCUGAAUUCUUUUAGCUUUUGCUUGUCUGUAAAGCUUUUGAUUCCGCCAUAGCAUCUGAACAAGAGCCUUUCUGGGUAGAGUAUUCUUGGUUGUAGGUUUUUCCCUUUCAUUACUUUAAAUAUAUCAUGCUACUUCCUUCUUGCCUGCAGAGUGUCUGCUGAAAAAUCAGUUGAUGGCCUUAUGUGGAUUCCCUUGUAUGCUAUUUGGUGCUUUUCCCUUGCUGCUUUUAAUAUUUUCUUUACCUGUAAUUAAUUUUUGUCAAUUUCAUUACUGUGUGAAUCCGUGUGUUCCUCCUUGGGUCAGUCCUGUAUGGGACUCUCUGAGCUCCCUGGACUUGGGUGGCUGUUUCCUUUCCCAUGCUAGGGAAGUUUUCAAUAUUAUCUCUUCAGAUUUUUUCUCAGGCCCUUUCUCUCUCUCUUCUCCUUGUGGGACCCCUAUAAUGCAAAACGUUGGUGAAUUUAAUGUUGUCCCAGAGGUCUCUGAGACUGUCCUCAUUUCUUUUCAUUCAUUCUUCUUUAUUCUGUUCUGCGACAGUGAUUUCCACUGCUCUGUCUUUUCCAUUUGAGUUUCAAGGUGAAUGCAGCCUCAGCAGACAGACAACUCCACUGCAACCUCAUUCAUGAAAGAAUCUGAAUCAGAGGCAUUCAGCUAAGCCAUAUCUGGAUUUCUGACUCACAAAAACUGAACUGGAUUGGAGACAAGAUGUGGACUAGAAGGACCUUGAAGUAACCUCCUCUCAUGAGCACACCAAAGUCACAACGAACUGUUGAAGAGCCACUGAUAAAAAAAAAAGACUGGAACCUACCAAAGAAAGAUAUUCUAUAUCCAAAGACCUAAAGAAGAAACUACAGUGAGAUGCAUUCAUCAUUUUGCAUCUAAUUGCUUAACAUGUCUGAGUCCCUUGCUAGACUGUGAGCCCCGAAGAAGAAGGAUCGUGCUUUCUUUGUCUCUGCAUCCUGCAGUCCCUGGAGUACCUUCCCCUGAGUAUAUACCCAACGAAUCUUUGUCACAUAAAUUAAAGAUGAAGCAAUCUUGCCUUCCACUUUUUUUCUCUUGAGGUCUUGUUUCCAGGAGACGUUUGAUGAGUAACUCUCGGUCAACCCAGCAACACAAAGGCUGCCUGAAGCAUGAAGUGGUGGUGGUGGUGGUGCUGGAGCAAUUGUGGAGGAGGUGCUGGUGGAGAAGGAGGAGGUGCUGGAGG